GCUCUCAUAGUUUAAUGGAUAAAACACCGGUUUGCGGUACCGGAACUUCAGGUUCGACUCCUGGUGAGAGCA
rnacentral:tRNA from 1 species